ACUGCUCAGUAACACGUGGACAACCUGCCCUUAGGACGGGGAUAAACCCGGGAAACUGGGUAUAAUACCCGAUAGGUCUCGACUGCUGGAAUGCAUCGAGGUCUAAAGCUCCGGCGCCUAAGGAUGGGUCUGCGGCCUAUCAGGUAGUAGUGGGUGUAGUGUACCUACUAGCCUACGACGGGUACGGGUUGUGAGAGCAAGAGCCCGGAGAUGGAUUCUGAGACACGAAUCCAGGCCCUACGGGGUGCAGCAGGCGCGAAAACUUUACAAUGCUGGAAACAGCGAUAAGGGAACCUCGAGUGCCAGGUUACAAAUCUGGCUGUCGUGAUGCCUAAAAAGCAUUGCAUAGCAAGGGCCGGGCAAGACCGGUGCCAGCCGCCGCGGUAACACCGGCGGCUCGAGUGGUAACCGUUAUUAUUGGGUCUAAAGGGUCUGUAGCCGGCCGGAUAAGUCUCUUGAGAAAUCUGGCAGCUUAACUGUCAGGCUUUCAGGAGAUACUGUCUGGCUCGGGGCCGGGAGAGGUGAGAGGUACUUCAGGGGUAGGGGUGAAAUCUUGUAAUCCUUGAAGGACCACCAGUGGCGAAGGCGUCUCACCAGAACGGACCUGACGGCAAGGGACGAAAGCUAGGGGCACGAACCGGAUUAGAUACCCGGGUAGUCCUAGCCGUAAACGAUACUCGCUAGGUGUCGGCCACGGUGCGACCGUUGUCGGUGCCGUAGGGAAGCCGUGAAGCGAGCCACCUGGGAAGUACGGCCGCAAGGCUGAAACUUAAAGGAAUUGGCGGGGGAGCACCACAACGGGUGGAGCUUGCGGUUUAAUUGGAUUCAACGCCGGAAAUCUUACCGGGACCGACAGCAAUAUGAAGGCCAGGCUGAAGACUUUGCCGGAUUAGCUGAGAGGUGGUGCAUGGCCGUCGUCAGUUCGUACUGUGAAGCAUCCUGUUAAGUCAGGCAACGAGCGAGACCCCCGCC
rnacentral:rRNA from 1 species